GUGUCCUGUGAGAUUGGCAGUACUCACACAACAGUCUUGAGACUCGCCAGGGAGUCGCCGUUGUGGAGCUUGCGUUGUUGUGGAAUGCUGAGGUUUUCAAAAUGAUUUAUUGUAAGUAUUAGGGCUAUUUAUUAGGGCUAUUUAUAAUACACUUAUAAUUAGCGUCGUUGCGGUAGCCUUAUGUUGUAUCAGAGACGGUCGCUGAGGGUUCAUUUUAAACCACUCGGUCACUGUUUGUUUGGCCCUUUGUUUCCCCUGCGUUGUGUUUUGAUUGAGUCUCAUGGUUCUCAUGUGUUCGUCUCACUGCUAGAUCUGAACGCGUGAGAACCAACCAGACUCAAUCAAAACACAAUGCAGCCAAAACAAAAAAGGGGGUGGGCCUAAGUAGCUGACUGCAAUUUAAAUAAUCUCGCUAAAUUAAUAUUUCCUCUACGAACAAUGUAACAUGCGCUGCAGUGUUUCACGUGAACUAUAGUGUUUCACAUGAGCGACAGUGUUUGACGAGAGCAGAAGGAGGUGAGGGCUGUGGAGAGUCCCCAUGCCUUGUCCGUGGGGGCCCAGGGUUUCCACGCCACCCCGUCACAGCUGAGCAGCUGACUGGUGCUGUGGUUGAAGUGGAGCACGCCCCUGAGCUCUGGGACACACGCUCUGCCCACCGGCCGGACCCCGGGCACCUGAGGACAAGGAUGGAGCAGUUGCACAGACCUUGACGGUGACGUACGAGGACUCUGCGAGGUUCCCCUUGCGCGUGACCUCCAGGGAGACGGUGCCUUGGUCCUCACACGCCGAGUACUGGGACCGGGACAGCUCCACGCUGGACCACUGCAGCUCCAGCCUGGGGAACACACAGGAAGGGACACACAGGUUUGUCUCAAGUAAACCCUGGGAGACGCCCAUCGUGUUAAAAUAACGCUCACGUCGUCAGCACGCCGACUCACGUGUGGGCGGCUCCGACGUUCCCCAGAGGGUCGGACACCUUGAACUCCAGGCUGUCGGACAGAGACCCCACGGCGGGGUUGAUCACGUACACGAUGGACCUGCGGUUCAGGUCCGUCUGGGAGAAGCAGUGCUCCACGAAAUCACCUGGAGGCGAGGUAGCCAAAGUAGAGCGGGCGGACCACGCAGAAGCGGAUCUCCUCGUCCCGGGACUGGCCGUCCUGCGCCCGCAGCUCCCUGGACGACAGGAAGAUCCCGGAGCGGCCGUCGGCCAGCGCCUCCGCCUUCCACAGGGGCAGCAGCGUCACCACCUCGGGGGCCGCGCUGUCCAGGGGCAGGACCUGAGGGGAACCAACAUGACCUUAAAGGGGUGACAGUAGACCGCCGGCUUAUAGUGUCACCCCUUUAAGAUGUUUGGGGGACGCUUUUAUCCAACGUGACGAGUGAGUCUGGGAAUGCCUUUGGUCAAAGUUCAAAUGUUGUGCAACCAGGUUUAAAUGCAACAACUGCACAGAGUGCUGAUGGGCCAUAGGCAUCAGGAAAAGGGGUAGAAAUGUAUUAUCUUUUUUAUUAAACUUUGCAAAAUGUGUCACUGCCUCAACAAAACUACCUUGUUCGCUCAAAAAUAUGCAUUUUAUACGUGUAGGGGACCGACAUGGACCUUUGAAGCUGAGUUAUUCUCAUAAAAAAUCUAUUGCUAGAGCUACGAAAGGACCUGUGUCUAUUCUCUAGUCCUCUGAGAAAGGACCCUGGUCUCCAACAAAACCUUCAAAAACCUCAAAAAGAGAAGCGACAUCAGGAGUCAGGACAACCUCGUAACGAUGAGCACCUCCACCUCCUCCCUCCACCUCCUGACCACGCGUCAGCUGAUCAGCCACAACGGGGUGCCCAGAUUUCUGCCUGAACCCCACCUGAACGACGAACCCCACCUGAACGGUUAACCCCACCUGAACGACCAACCCCACCUGAACAACGAACGCCACGGGCUCCGUCUGCAGCCGCCCCUCCACCAGGAAGCCCCGCCCUGAGGUGUCGGCGGCGGUGAAGGUGAAGCGGUCGAUCAGGGCCGGGCCCCCGUCGUGGCCGUACGUCAGCCCCA